rnacentral:rRNA from 1 species
AGCAGCCGCGGUAAUUCCAGCUCCAAUAGCGUAUAUUAAAGUUGUUGCAGUUAAAAAGCUCGUAGUUGAACUUCGGGGUCUACCCAUUGGUCAGGCUUAAUUGUCUGCACUGGUGAGAUGGAUCUCUACCUUCUGAGGAACUUUCAUGCCAUUUAUUUGGUGUGGUGGGAAAUCAGGACUGUUACUUUGAAAAAAUUAGAGUGUUUAAAGCAGACUAUCGUCUGAAUACAUUAGCAUGGAAUAAUGAAAUAGGACGGACUGAUUCUAUUCGUUGGUUUCUAGGAUCACCGUAAUGAUUAAUAGGGAUAGUUGGGGGCAUUAGUAUUCAAUUGUCAGAGGUGAAAUUCUUGGAUUUAUGAAGAC